AUGCAUGGAGAAAUGCUCAACUCCUGAUGCAUGGAGAAAAGGCCUUCACAAACCUCUGCUAAUGUGUACCUAGUUUAUACUAAGUGACCCAUAGGUUGAGGAGGCGGUGACCGUGGCGGAGGAGGAUGGUAGCCCCCAAAAUAUUGAGACAUAUAAAAAAAGACAACUCUGUUCUGCAGAGUAGCUGUUGCGCAGGAACUUUGUUAAAUCUAGAGAACCUCGGGCAAAUUGCACAUCCCCGUGGUGGCGACUUUGCAUGCGGAUGUCAUCCAUAUCAACUUUCAAUGCCAGCUUAUGUGCCUACCAUGGUGACCACGGGUAAUGGGGAAUCAGGGUUUAAUUUUGUACAGGGACCCUGAGAAACGGCUACCACAUGCAAGGAAGGCAGCA